GGGGGAUUUUAAGAAAGAAGCUGCCUGAGUAAAACUGCUUUAAGAACCGGUGGUUGGCAAGUGGUGCCGAAGAAACCCGGGACCCCCACCAAAGAGGUUCAGAACUUUCUGCAAUCAGGGUCUGUCAACAGGAUGAGUACGAGAUUUGAAGUUCACACCAUACAGAUUUUUCUGUUGCUUGGUUAGAGUCACACCAAGGUGAAACUAAUGAAUGACAAUAAACAGGGUCAAUUGCUAAAGGAGAAGAAUCACUGUGGAUGAUGAACUGAUGGCUGUACUGUAAAUAAUAUACAAUUCAUAUAGUAGCAUCUUCAGACAAGUGAGAAACACACUAAACCUGAAAUCAAAUGAUGAAUCAAGAAGCAGAAAAAGAAAUGCAUCAAGCUAAAAAUUAAAUGACUCGCACAAAUGCAAUUUGGCAAUUGUUGAAGGACAGAUUUGGAGGAAUGUUCUCAAAUUAUGAAAGUUGUGUUGUUUAGAAAAGAAGUAGAAAAUCUCUCUGGGAAAUAUUUUCUAAAUAUUUCUUAUCUUUUCUGUGAAGAUCUAUGCUUGUAAAUCGAAUUGAAUGUUUUCGUGACUUAAACCUAGGUCAAGAUGGUUGUAAAUCCAUUUCUGACUCUACAAUAAAGUUUAUUAUGUCAAAAAA